rnacentral:misc_RNA from 1 species
UUUUAUUUAUUUAUUUAUUUAUUACCAAUUUUGAUUGUCUGGCCGCUGUGAUAUGUCAUAGUAGGUUAUCUUGCAAUUCCUUGCAUUAGAUAAACUCUUCUUAAAUGUCCUGGUCUUAAGGUGUUAUUGCCCUCAAAACCAGGGCUUGUUGUCUUCCUGCUAAUUGAGUUGUGAAAUUAGAAGUUAUCAUUUUGAUUUCUCUCUCUUUCUACUAAGUAUUCAACAUCUUGUGAUAAUGCAAUCAUUUUCCCCCCCUUUUAACCCUUUACAUUCAAGGAUUGAAUUGUAACAUUGACUGAAAUUAAUUUGCCAUAAAUUGUCUAUUUUGUAGCAAAUUAUGGAAAUGGAAUCAUUUGUAUGUUGGAAGUUGUUUAUGGUUUUUUGUUGGAGCAUGGUCAUUUGCCCAAUUUCACAAACCUGCUGAUUCAAAUUAUUAGUAUGAUAGUGUCCUUAUUCUGUUGUUGCUGCCAUCACCACCACCACCUCCACUACUGUGCAUUUUACCAGUUGAUUGUUGUCAUCUCGAAUGAUUUCUAUAGAAUAUGUAGCACCACGCUGGCUGCUUCACUGCUUUCAUCAGUUUUGUUAUGCGCUAUCACAACUCCUGGCACCAGGUUACCACCCUUGGCUUCUGAUGCUAUCAUCUUAUCACCUUUGCAAUCAACAGAACAUGUGGCAAAAUCCAUGGAAUUCCAAAUGGAAGGGAAAGUCUAUUUGUUGCUAAUGAUGAACACUUUUAAUACCUUUCUUGAAAAAUUAUGUCAUUUUUAUUUCUGACUGAUAUGAUCACCAAGGAUGUUUACUUUAGCUGCUUCAUCUUGAACUUCAUUAUAUUUAAACUAAUGCUUGUGUUAUCAUUUGUUUCUGUGUGUUUCCAUUCCAGACACUUGGCAAUUGCUUAUGACAUUUCUUUUUGCCCUACCUAUUACAGGCUGGACUUUUUGUAUAUGAUAU